rnacentral:rRNA from 1 species
CCUACGGGUGGCAGCAGUGGGGAAUAUUGGACAAUGGGGGGAACCCUGAUCCAGCCAUGCCGCGUGUGUGAAGAAAGCCCUCGGGUUGUAAAGCACUUUCAGUGAGGAAGAACGCCUGGUGGUUAAUACCCAUCAGGAAAGACAUCACUCACAGAAGAAGCACCGGCUAACUCCGUGCCAGCAGCCGCGGUAAUACGGAGGGUGCGAGCGUUAAUCGGAAUUACUGGGCGUAAAGCGCGCGUAGGUGGCUUGAUAAGCCGGUUGUGAAAGCCCCGGGCUCAACCUGGGAACGGCAUCCGGAACUGUCAAGCUAGAGUGCAGGAGAGGAAGGUAGAAUUCCCGGUGUAGCGGUGAAAUGCGUAGAGAUCGGGAGGAAUACCAGUGGCGAAGGCGGCCUUCUGGACUGACACUGACACUGAGGUGCGAAAGCGUGGGUAGCAAACAGGAUUAGAUACCCUUGUAGUC